ACUCAAAGGAAUAGACGGGGGCCCGCACAAGCGGUGGAGCAUGUGGUUUAAUUCGACGCAACGCGAAGAACCUUACCCAGACUUGACAUCGAUGGAAUCCUGUAGAGAUACGGGAGUGCCCUUCGGGGCCCAGAAGACAGGUGCUGCAUGGCUGUCGUCAGCUCGUGUCGUGAGAUGUUGGGUUAAGUCCCGCAACGAGCGCAACCCUCGUCGUUAGUUGCCAACAGGUAAAGCUGGGCACUCUAGCGAGACUGCCGGUGUCAAACCGGAGGAAGGUGGGGAUGACGUCAAGUCCUCAUGGCCUUUAUGUCUGGGGCUACACACGUGCUACAAUGGCAUCUACAGAGCGACCCUAACCCGCGAGGGGGCGGAAAUCGCAAAAAAGAUGUCUCAGUUCGGAUCGGAGUCUGCAACUCGACUUCGUGAAGUCGGAAUCGCUAGUAAUCGAGGAUCAGCAUGCCUCGGUGAAUACGUUCCCGGGCCUUGUACACACCGCCCGU
rnacentral:rRNA from 1 species